rnacentral:sRNA from 1 species
GCUGGGUGUGGUGGUGCACACUUGUAAUUCCAGCAACUUGGGUGGCUGAGGCAGGGGGAUUGCAAGUUCAAUUGCCUCAGCAAUUUAGGAAGGCCCUAAGCAACUUAGUGAGACCUUGUCUCAA